CUACGAGAGGCUGCAGUAGGGAAUAUUGCACAACGGGCGAAAGCCUGAUGCAGCAACGCCGCGUGAGUGAUGAAGGCCCUCGGGUCGUAAAACUCUUUUCAAGAGGAAGAGGAAGGACGGUACUCUUGGAAUAAGCCUCGGCUAACUACGUGCCAGCAGCCGCGGUAACACGUAGGAGGCGAGCGUUAUUCGGAUUUACUGGGCGUAAAGCGCGUGUAGGCGGCUCUAUAAGUUGGAUGUGAAAGCUCCCGGCUUAACUGGGAGAGGACGUUCAAAACUAUAGAGCUUGAGUACGAGAGAGGAAAAUGGAAUUCCGGGUGUAGUGGUGAAAUGCGUAGAUAUCCGGAGGAACACCAGUGGCGAAGGCGAUUUUCUGGCUCGAGACUGACGCUCAGACGCGAAAGCUAGGGUAGCAAACGGGAUUAGAUACCCCAGUAGUC
rnacentral:rRNA from 1 species